UCCUCUCAUCCUAUUCCAUCUCAUCCAUCAUCCAUCCACCUCAUCCCAUUCUUCCCGCCCGACUCCAAUUUCCAACAUCAUUCUUUGCAUUUUUCUCCAACUUUACCCCAUUGCCGCUGGCUUACGCUUGCUUACCUUGUUUUCAAUACCCAACCACCUCAUCCAUCAUCAUCAUUAUUCUGCCUCCACCUGACUUGUCAAUUUCCAGCCAUUAAUCGGCAUUCGCACUUUUCGUCACACUCCCAAGUCAUCAAACCAAAUCUCAUCGCCUCUUAUUCUUCUUCAUCUACUCGUCUUUUUCCAUCUCCGCAAGGUUGCAUGCUAAACGGAAAGGAACGUCAGAGUAAAAACAUUGUAUGGUAAUUCAUCCAUCCAUUCAUUCAUCUACUGCCUUUUUGCUGUUUGACAUACGUUUUCUCUCUCAUUUCUUCUUCUCCAAAUUGCAUGCUCUUACUACUCAAGCUAUAUCUAUAUCUCCUUUAAUUAACCUUUUGCCUGUUU